GUUGCAUCUAUGCCAACUGUUUCAACUGUUCUGCCUUUAACGGGACUCUGGGGAGUUGUGUGUUACUGUGGUCUUAUUUUCCCGAGUAAAAAAUUUAAAAAAUGCCAUGAAACCCUGAAAGGAAUUAGACGACUACAAAGACAGGCUCCUCUGUCCAUGGGAUUAUCCUGGCAAGAAUACUGGAUUGAGUUGCCAUGCCUUCCUCCAAGGGAUCUUCUCAACCCAGGGAUCGAACCUGCAUCUCUUGUGGCUCCUGCAUUGCCGGUGGAUUCUUUACUGCUGAGCCGCCUGGGAAGUACCCCCUUUCAGAAACCUCUCCACAGGUCUGCAGCCGUCAGCAAUGAGCCUGGGAUCCUGCUGUAGAGACGACACAGCUGGGCAGGGCCAGGCCCGAGGGAGCAGGUUCGUGACCAGGUGCUGAGCUGUGCUCCAGCGGCUGCAGCCAGGGCGCGCCCAGUCUUAGUUUUGAGGACUCGUGUCUGCGAGCACCCAGGCCUGCUGCUUUCCCCAUACCUGCCCUUUCUUACUUCUCGGCUUUUAGCACUCAUUCCCCAAGACUGGCACAGGACUGCCCUGGUGGUCCAGGGGGUAGGAGUUCGCCUGCCAUUUCACAGGGCAUGGAUUCAAUCCCUGGUCUGGGAAGACCCCACAUGCCGCGGACAGCUAAGCCUGUGAGCCCCAAAUCCCGAGGCCCGGACACCCAGGGCCCACGCCCCAAAAUGAGAGGAGCCCCCGUGCUAAGGAGCCCGCACAUUGCUUGAUGCAACUAGAGAAAACCAUCCAUAGCAACUAAGACCCAGCAUGGCCCAAAAUAAAGAAAUACAACUAAAAAAAUAAAGACCGGCAUAGUCCAGCACAACACGGCCCAUCUCGGAUGUGCAAGGCUUUCAUUUUUGAGGAGGUUGGACCAGAUUUUUUCACGUUCUUCACAGCAUUUCAAGAAGACAAGGAGCGAGGCGCAAGUGCUCGUC
ensembl:lncRNA